UACGUAGGGGCGCAAGCGUUAUCCGGAAUUAUUGGGCGUAAAGAGCUCGUAGGCGGUUUGUCGCGUCUGCCGUGAAAGGUCCGGGCUCAACUCCGGAUCUGCGGUGGGUACGGGCAGACUAGAGUGAUGUAGGGGAGACUGGAAUUCCUGGUGUAGCGGUGAAAUGCGCAGAUAUCAGGAGGAACACCGAUGGCGAAGGCAGGCUCUGGGCAUUAACUGACGCUGAGGAGCGAAAGCAUGGGGAGCAACAGG
rnacentral:rRNA from 1 species